UGAUACUAAGCCAUGCGAGUCAUUGUAGCAAUACAAGGCAUACGGCUCAGUAACGCGUAGUCAACCUAACCUAUGGACGGGAAUAACCUCGGGAAACUGAGAAUAAUGCCCGAUAGAACAUUAUGCCUGGAAUGGUUUAUGUUCCAAAUGAUUUAUCGCCGUAGGAUGGGACUGCGGCCUAUCAGUUUGUUGGUGAGGUAAUGGCCCACCAAGACUAUUACAGGUACGGGCUCUGAGAGGAGUAGCCCGGAGAUGGGUACUGAGACACGGACCCAGGCCCUAUGGGGCGCAGCAGGCGAGAAAACUUUGCAAUGUGCGAAAGCACGACAAGGUUAAUCCGAGUGGUUUCUGCUAAAGGAACCUUUUGUCAGUCCUAGAAACACUGAUGAAUAAGGGGUGGGCAAGUUCUGGUGUCAGCCGCCGCGGUAAAACCAGCACCUCAAGUGGUCAGGAUGAUUAUUGGGCCUAAAGCAUCCGUAGCCGGCUCUGUAAGUUUUCGGUUAAAUCUGUACGCUCAACGUACAGGCUGCCGGGAAUACUGCAAAGCUAGGGAGUGGGAGAGGUAGACGGUACUCGGUAGGAAGGGGUAAAAUCCUUUGAUCUAUUGAUGACCACCUGUGGCGAAGGCGGUCUACCAGAACACGUCCGACGGUGAGGGAUGAAAGCUGGGGGAGCAAACCGGAUUAGAUACCCGGGUAGUCCCAGCUGUAAACCAUGCAAACUCAGUGAUGCAUUGGCUUGUGGCCAAUGCAGUGCUGCAGGGAGGCCGUUAAGUUUGCCGCCUGGGAAGUACGUACGCAAGUAUGAAACUUAAAGGAAUUGGCGGGGGAGCACCACAAGGGGUGAAGCCUGCGGUUCAAUUGG
rnacentral:rRNA from 1 species